GCCCCCAUAGCUUAAAGGAUAAAGUACUUGGCUUCGAACCAAGUGAUGGAGGUUCGAUUCCUUCUGGGGGCACAA
rnacentral:tRNA from 1 species